GGAAAUUAAUAAAUGUAAAAUGCAAGUUAUUUAUUACAAGAACUGCUCAUAUUUAUGACUCUACUGCAGCUAUUUAUGCAACUGUUGAUAAUGACAUAAGCACAGGUAAAUAACAUAUUUUAGAACUUAAGUCCAUCUUUUUAUCACUGUGAUAUCUGCAGAGCAAAUCCAGUUAAACCAAGUGUUUUUUCCUCAUUGUAGACAGUGUAAGUGCACCUUCUGAACUCACCUAUGCUGAGAUUGAACUGAAAUCUACAAAGAAAGAGAAGAAAAAGAAAGAAAACAAAGAGAAUAAACCUGAGAGUUCUGACUGCGUUUACUCUAAACUCAAGCUGCAGACAGAUCAAGGUGCUGGGUCUGGUGAAGUGAUUUAUGCUCAGGUUAAAUAAAAAUGUCCAGAGGAGAAACGUUCAAUCCCAGGAUGCUGAUGGGUGGAAAUGAACCAGGAUCAUCAAUGAUCAGUAAUCUUUGUGAUAUUGAUCACUU